rnacentral:rRNA from 1 species
AACGAACGCUGGCGGCAUGCCUAACACAUGCAAGUCGAACGAGAUCUUCGGACAUAGUGGCGCACGGGUGCGUAACACGUAUGCAACCUACCUUACAUUGGGGGAUAGCCUUUCGAAAGGGAGAUUAAUACCGCAUAAGACAGUAGCUGGGCAUCCAGCAGCUGUUAAAGAUUUAUCGAUGUAAGCUGGGCAUGCGUCCAAUUAGCUAGUUGGUGAGGUAACGGCUCACCAAGGCAAUGAUUGGUAGGGGAACUGAGAGGUCAAUCCCCCACCCUGGCACUGAGAUACGGGCCAGACUCCUACGGGAGGCAGCAGUAGGGAAUAUUGGGCAAUGGACGCAAGUCUGACCCAGCCAUGCCGCGUGUGUGAAGAAGGCCUUCGGGUUGUAAAGCACUUUCAGCGGGGAGGAAGGCGGUACGGUUACUAACCGUGCCGAUUGACGUUACCCGCAGAAGAAGCACCGGCUAACUCCGUGCCAGCCGCCGCCGUAAGAC